ensembl:snoRNA SNORD25 Small nucleolar RNA SNORD25
AUCCCCUAUGAUGAGUACCUUUUCACAGACCUGUACUGAUCUCCGUGAGGAUAAGUGACUCUGAGGAGGA